rnacentral:tRNA from 1 species
GGCCUCAUCGUCUAGUAGGUUAGGACACCGCCCUUUCACGGCGACAGUAGGGGUUCGAAUCCCCUUGAGGUCACCA